rnacentral:rRNA from 1 species
AGUGAAGCGGGAUGAGCUCAAAUUUGAAAUCUGGCUGGUUUACUAGUCUGAGUUGUAAUUUAAAGAAGCGUUUUCGGUGGCAGCCUGGGUAUAAAUCCUUUGGAAUAGGGUAUCAUAGAGGGUGAGAAUCCCGUCUUUGACCUAGUGCAUGCUACUAUGUGAUACGUUUUCAAAGAGUCGAGUUGUUUGGGAAUGCAGCUCAAAAUGGGUGGUAAAUUUCAUCUAAAGCUAAAUAUUGGCGAGAGACCGAUAGCGAACAAGUACCGUGAGGGAAAGAUGAAAAGAACUUUGAAAAGAGAGUUAAACAGUGCGUGAAAUUGUUGAAAGGGAAACGUUUGACACCAGUCAUGUGGGUGGAAAAUCAGUCUUUUGCAUUGGGGAGUUGUAAGGGUUCGGACCGCAAGGCCGGCUUUUGCUUCAUCUUUGGUGUAAGUGAUGCACUUUUUCAUCUACAGGUCAACAUCAGUUUCUUUUGCUGGACAAAACUCCGAGAGAAGGUAGCAGCUUAGGCUGUGUUAUAGCUCUGGAGCGAUACAGUGAAGGGGACUGAGGUUUUCGCAGCGUGUGCUCUCGGGCAAGGCUGGAUGGGUGCUAUGGGAUCGUUCGGGGUACAAUGCCUGGCAUUUUGCUUCGUGUCUUUUCUAUACUCGCUCAACUCAGCUCUUCCACGCUUAGGAUGUUGACUUAAUGGUUUUAAACGACCCGUCUUGAAACACGGACCAAGGAGUCUAACAUAUAUGCAAGUGUUUGGGUGGCAAACCCAUGCGCGUAAUGAAAGUGAACGUAGGUGCGAUCCGCAAGGUGCAGCAUCGACCGAUCUUGAUAUUUUUGGAUAGAUUUGAGUAAGAGCAUAUAUGCUGGGACCCGAAAGAUGGUGAACUAUGCCUGAAUAGGGUGAAGCCAGAGGAAACUCUGGUGGAGGCUCGUAGCGAUUCUGACGUGCAAAUCGAUCGUCAAAUUUGGGUAUAGGGGCGAAAGACUA